UGUACUUGCUUUUUUCACUUU
rnacentral:piRNA from 1 species